rnacentral:rRNA from 1 species
AUGGUCAAGUGAAGAAGCGCAUACGGUGGAUGCCUUGGCAGUCAGAGGCGAUGAAAGACGUGGUAGCCUGCGAAAAGCUUCGGGGAGUCGGCAAACAGACUUUGAUCCGGAGAUGUCUGAAUGGGGGAACCCAGCCAUCAUAAGAUGGUUAUCUUGUACUGAAUACAUAGGUGCAAGAGGCGAACCAGGGGAACUGAAACAUCUAAGUACCCUGAGGAAAAGAAAUCAACCGAGAUUCCCUUAGUAGUGGCGAGCGAACGGGGACUAGCCCUUAAGUGGCUUUGAGAUUAGCGGAACGCUCUGGAAAGUGCGGCCAUAGUGGGUGAUAGCCCUGUACGCGAAAAUCUCUUAGUCAUGAAAUCGAGUAGGACGGGGCACGAGAAACCUUGUCUGAAUAUGGGGGGACCAUCCUCCAAGGCUAAAUACUACUGACUGACCGAUAGUGAACUAGUACCGUGAGGGAAAGGCGAAAAGAACCCCGGAGAGGGGAGUGAAAUAGAUCCUGAAACCGUAUGCGUACAAGCAGUGGGAGCCCACUUUGUUGGGUGACUGCGUACCUUUUGUAUAAUGGGUCAGCGACUUAUUUUCAGUGGCGAGCUUAACCGAAUAGGGGAGGCGUAGCGAAAGCGAGUCUUAAUAGGGCGUCUAGUCGCUGGGAAUAGACCCGAAACCGGGCGAUCUAUCCAUGGGCAGGUUGAAGGUUGGGUAACACUAACUGGAGGACCGAACCGACUACCGUUGAAAAGUUAGCGGAUGACCUGUGGAUCGGAGUGAAAGGCUAAUCAAGCUCGGAGAUAGCUGGUUCUCCUCGAAAGCUAUUUAGGUAGCGCCUCAUGUAUCACUGUAGGGGGUAGAGCACUGUUUCGGCUAGGGGGUCAUCCCGACUUACCAAACCGAUGCAAACUCCGAAUACCUACAAGUGCCGAGCAUGGGAGACACACGGCGGGUGCUAACGUCCGUCGUGAAAAGGGAAACAACCCAGACCGUCAGCUAAGGUCCCAAAGUCAUGGUUAAGUGGGAAACGAUGUGGGAAGGCUUAGACAGCUAGGAGGUUGGCUUAGAAGCAGCCACCCUUUAAAGAAAGCGUAAUAGCUCACUAGUCGAGUCGGCCUGCGCGGAAGAUGUAACGGGGCUCAAACCAUGCACCGAAGCUACGGGUAUCACUUAGGUGAUGCGGUAGAGGAGCGUUCUGUAAGCCUGUGAAGGUGAGUUGAGAAGCUUGCUGGAGGUAUCAGAAGUGCGAAUGCUGACAUGAGUAACGACAAUGGGUGUGAAAAACACCCACGCCGAAAGACCAAGGUUUCCUGCGCAACGUUAAUCGACGCAGGGUUAGUCGGUCCCUAAGGCGAGGCUGAAAAGCGUAGUCGAUGGAAAACAGGUUAAUAUUCCUGUACUUCUGGUUAUUGCGAUGGAGGGACGGAGAAGGCUAGGCCAGCUUGGCGUUGGUUGUCCAAGUUUAAGGUGGUAGGCUGAGAUCUUAGGUAAAUCCGGGAUCUUAAGGCCGAGAGCUGAUGACGAGUUGCCAUUAGGCGACGAAGUGGUUGAUGCCAUGCUUCCAAGAAAAGCUUCUAAGCUUCAGGUAACCAGGAACCGUACCCCAAACCGACACAGGUGGUUGGGUAGAGAAUACCAAGGCGCUUGAGAGAACUCGGGUGAAGGAACUAGGCAAAAUGGCACCGUAACUUCGGGAGAAGGUGCGCCGGUGAGGGUGAAGGACUUGCUCCGUAAGCCCAUGCCGGUCGAAGAUACCAGGCCGCUGCGACUGUUUAUUAAAAACACAGCACUCUGCAAACACGAAAGUGGACGUAUAGGGUGUGACGCCUGCCCGGUGCCGGAAGGUUAAUUGAUGGGGUUAGCUAACGCGAAGCUCUUGAUCGAAGCCCCGGUAAACGGCGGCCGUAACUAUAACGGUCCUAAGGUAGCGAAAUUCCUUGUCGGGUAAGUUCCGACCUGCACGAAUGGCGUAACGAUGGCGGCGCUGUCUCCACCCGAGACUCAGUGAAAUUGAAAUCGCUGUGAAGAUGCAGUGUAUCCGCGGCUAGACGGAAAGACCCCGUGAACCUUUACUAUAGCUUUGCACUGGACUUUGAAUUUGCUUGUGUAGGAUAGGUGGGAGGCUUUGAAGCGUGGACGCCAGUUCGCGUGGAGCCAACCUUGAAAUACCACCCUGGCAACUUUGAGGUUCUAACUCAGGUCCGUUAUCCGGAUCGAGGACAGUGUAUGGUGGGUAGUUUGACUGGGGCGGUCUCCUCCUAAAGAGUAACGGAGGAGUACGAAGGUGCGCUCAGACCGGUCGGAAAUCGGUCGUAGAGUAUAAAGGCAAAAGCGCGCUUGACUGCGAGACAGACACGUCGAGCAGGUACGAAAGUAGGUCUUAGUGAUCCGGUGGUUCUGUAUGGAAGGGCCAUCGCUCAACGGAUAAAAGGUACUCCGGGGAUAACAGGCUGAUACCGCCCAAGAGUUCAUAUCGACGGCGGUGUUUGGCACCUCGAUGUCGGCUCAUCACAUCCUGGGGCUGAAGCCGGUCCCAAGGGUAUGGCUGUUCGCCAUUUAAAGUGGUACGCGAGCUGGGUUUAGAACGUCGUGAGACAGUUCGGUCCCUAUCUGCCGUGGACGUUUGAGAUUUGAGAGGGGCUGCUCCUAGUACGAGAGGACCGGAGUGGACGAACCUCUGGUGUUCCGGUUGUCACGCCAGUGGCAUUGCCGGGUAGCUAUGUUCGGGAAAGAUAACCGCUGAAAGCAUCUAAGCGGGAAACUUGCCUCAAGAUGAGAUCUCACUGGAACCUUGAGUUCCCUGAAGGGCCGUCGAAGACUACGACGUUGAUAGGUUGGGUGUGUAAGCGCUGUGAGGCGUUGAGCUAACCAAUACUAAUUGCCCGUGAGGCUUGACCAUA